rnacentral:rRNA from 1 species
AACGAACGCUGGCGGCAUGCCUAACACAUGCAAGUCGAACGAGACCUUCGGGUCUAGUGGCGCACGGGUGCGUAACGCGUGGGAACCUGCCCUUAGGUUCGGAAUAACUCCCCGAAAGGGGUGCUAAUACCGGAUAAUGUCUUCGGACCAAAGAUUUAUCGCCUUUGGAUGGGCCCGCGUUGGAUUAGCUAGUUGGUAGGGUAAAAGCCUACCAAGGCGACGAUCCAUAGCCGGUCUGAGAGGAUGAUCAGCCACACUGGGACUGAGACACGGCCUAGACUCCUACGGGAGGCAGCAGUGGGGAAUAUUGGACAAUGGGCGAAAGCCUGAUCCAGCAAUGCCGCGUGAGUGAUGAAGGCCUUAGGGUUGUAAAGCUCUUUUACCCGGGAUGAUAAUGACAGUACCGGGAGAAUAAGCACCGGCUAACUCCGUG